UACGGAGGGUGCAAGCGUUAUCCGGAAUCACUGGGUUUAAAGGGUGCGUAGGCGGUCUGAUAAGUCAGUCGUGAAAUUCCCCGGCUUAACCGGCGGGACUGCGAUUGAUACUGUUAGACUUGAAUCAGGUUGAGGUAGGCGGAAUGUGGCAUGUAGCGGUGAAAUGCUUAGAUAUGCCAUAGAACACCAAUUGCGAAGGCAGCUUGUUGGACCUGUAUUGACGCUGAGGCACGAAAGCGUGGGGA
rnacentral:rRNA from 1 species